rnacentral:lncRNA from 10 species
AAUCUCUUUGGGACGCCUCUUCAGCGCUGUCUUCCCUGCCUCUGCCUUUAGGACGAGUCUCAAACACCAACAAACGCAAGGCACGUCCCCCCUCUCAGGUCAGCUGCGAAGGCGUGGGAGCAAGAGAGAGCCUCUCCCUCCUUCUACUUAGAGUUUUUGUUUGUUUGUUUGUUUGUUUGUUUCAAAUAUUAAUGGACGAUAAAACAACACGGAUUUGUCACCUCCUAGCGAAGAGGAAGCCACCGCCACCACACCCCUCAAGCAUGCCUGGGCACUCCUGGGGACAAUCGGACGUGGCAGGAGUUGGCAUGCCCAAGAUGAAGCUGGGAAGGAUGACCCAGAGUGGAAGGCGUGGGCUGGGGCUCCAGGUCUCAGCUCUCGCCAGCGUCGGACCACACAGCUUUGCCAGCUUUGCACCUUGCCUUUCCUUCUUGUGAGGCAUCUGGGACCGUCCUAUCAAGGCGCUUCAAAGGUGGAAGGACAGAGUGCUGGGGACAAGAACGUACCAGGCGCCCAGAAGAUUCCACUAGCGCGGCCAAACACUAAGACCAGGUUUCCUCCCUGCGUGGUGGUCGUUGGUUGUGCACGGGCUACGCACGAAGACUGAAUUCCUGAGAAAUGGAAACUGCAGGAGAAAAAUCAAAUAAACUUAGAGGCCUGUGAAGCUCUCCCUCUUGUCGCUCUGGGACCGCUCUAAGCUGAGCUACAUCUCAGAUACCUUCUCCCCCUGGAGGAUGGGCCUUUCUCAGGCACGAAAUGGUGUUUCGCUCUUAUUGCCCAGGCUGGAGUGCAAUGACGUGAUCUUGACUCACCACAGCCUCUGCAUCCAGGAUUCAAGCUAUUCCCCUGCCUCAGCCUCCCAAAAUGCUGGGAUUAUAGGCGUGAGCCACCACGCCUGGCCAGCAUUCCCAAUUUUUAAAAAUGAAUGAUUGGCACAAAUCUUAGAAAGCCAUUUUCUGUAGAUUUGAAAGCAAUGCUAUUUACAUUGUUACUACUUUCUUGUUAAAUCUUGCAUGUCUGCAGUAUGUGUUGUAAUAGAAACCUAAGAUUAUGAUCUGCUGUAUUCAUAUUUGAAGAAGAAAAUUUCAGACUGUAUAAUCAACUAGUUGAUGAUUCAUAUUUGCUUGUACAAAGUUAAAAGUGUAACUUGCCAGAAAAGAAGGAAGCCUGAAAAGUAUUCUAAAUACAUUAAUAAGAAGGGUUCUACAUGAAUUAAUUUUUGUUUUGCCAUCUACAGAGUUCCUGCCACAUUCUAGGCACUUCAUAUUUGCUGCAACAUUUAUUCAGACAUUGACAGAACAAGAGAAACGAAGUUAAAUUUUAAGUACCAUGGAUUGAAAUUAAAUUUAGGGAAGAUAUUUUAUAGUAUGAAUUGUUCAUCUGUAUUUAACAAGGUAUUCAUUUAUUUUGGGCGAUUUAAGGAAGGUCCUUUCUGGAAACAGGAUUACAAACAUAUGGACCUAUUUAGUCAAUUUCAACCUUGUGAUUUUGAAUCUGACAGGUUCUCAGCUGCUUUUAUUAAAUAACGGAUUUUCUUAAUAAUUACUGUACUCAAACUUAGCAAAAAGCUCUAUUUAUAGCCCAGUUUUUUAGUCACACACUAUUGUGUCUUGUCAAAUUGAAACCAUAUACUACAUUCUUUACUUAUUAAGAUGGUCUUUCUUUGUAAUAAUUUUGGAGUAAAUAGUUUACUUAUCUAAACCUCUGAUUUCUGAUUUAACAGAUUUUUGAAGCAUUUAUUUUCCUUACCAUACAUAAAAAUUGUCAGUUGAGGACAAGGAAGGAUUAACCUGGACUACGGUGAAUAAUUGUUCAGGUUGCUUACUGUGUAACUCCAGAGGAGCAUUCACAUGGUACAAUUUGCAGAUUUAAGUAUUUAUUACAACCAUUUUCUGGCAGAUAACAGUGGAACACCCUGUUCUGUUAAAAUUAGUUUAUUAUGACAAAUUGCCUACAGAUGGACAUAAACUGUCUUGAGGAAGGGCACCUGCUUUGGACUGAAUCGUGUCCCCCCAAAAUCAAAUGUUGAAGCCUAAUCUCUAAUAUGAUGGUAUUUGGAGAUGGGGCCUUUGGGAGAUAACUAGGUUUAGAUGAGGUCAAGAGUGUGGGGCCUUCCUGAUUAGUACCCUGAAAAGAGAAAACACCAGAGAGCUUGCCCUCUCUCCCUCUUACCCCACAGGCACACAAAGAGGUCAUGUGAGUACACAGUGAGAUAACAACCACCUAUGAGAAAACAGAAGAGGCUUCAGAGUGAAAUCUACUUUGCUGGUACUGUAAUCUUGGACAUUAUUCUCUAGAACUGUGAGAUAAUAAAUUUAUCUUAUUUAAGCCACCCAGUCUAUGGUAUUUUGUUAUGGCACCCUGAACUAAGACAAAUUUUGGUACCAAGAAAUGGGGGUGCUACUGUAACUAAUACCUAAACAUGGGGAAAUGACUUUGGAAUUGGAUAGUGAGUAGAGGCUCAAGAAUUUUCAGGUGCAUCCUAAACAUAUGAACAAAC